rnacentral:misc_RNA from 1 species
CGAAGUAUUAUAUUAUCACCUCGCGACGACGCUAUCUUGCUCGAAAUGCUCAAUCCUAUCCCACAGCGCGGAAAUGUCACCCUCAAGGUCAACGAGUUCCAGGAGGAACGGGGAGUCGACGUGGCCGUGCCUCGAAGGUCACUCGGCUUAGGCAUGGAUCAUGUGACAACACUCGACGUGUCAGAGGUUUAUAUGAGCGACACCCUUGCGUGUUGGCUGAUCCGGGAGCUCACUGAAAACAAGAGCAUCACUGGACUCGGUGUCUCGCACAGCGUGUUCCCCUAUCGCGACGAAGCCUCCAACGCGUUGUUCGCCAGAUACCUCGCCAAAGAAGACUGCGCGCUAAGAAAACUGACUCUCAAAUAUACGGACAUUUACCGCAGAGGGUUGGACCUGGCCCUGAGGGAAAUCGUCGAUGCACUCUGCAAGAUGAGUACUUUGGAGGAACUGAACGCAGACAUCGUCGUGGCGCCCGUAAGAUUCAUGAGCACGGUCACCCUCUUCGCCGAAGUCAUCACACGGAGUGACACACUACGGCGGCUGAGACUACCUUCGACGACAUGCGAAUGUCUUGCGACAUUAAGGAAUUCAACUCUCCAGCUUCCGGAUCCCCAAGCUGCGAAGUGCAUGGAGUCCUUGUGCCAAGGCCUGCAGAAACAGAGCUCGACGCUCAGCCGGCUCUGCAUUGACAUGCGGAUUUUCGCAGAAGCAGAGUGCCACUCCUUCUUCCAUGCAGUCGCGGACAACAAGGCACUGAAGACGGUGGUCGUCGACACCUUGCCCUGCAUCGACGGACUCGACAGAGUCUCCAGAACUAUCCGAAAACGGGGACUCAAUGACCGCGUUGUCGUCAAGGGACAAUGCGCGCACGACAACACAAGGCAGCUGCAGCAAUGCCCACAAAUCUGCAAUGCAACCGUCGAUACGGUGAUGGGAACUGCCAAUGUCCUGCAUUUAUUUAUCCCAUCUUUACGCGUUGUCAGUGGUUGCGAUCACAUCACUUCGCUGCGGGUUCAAUGCUUGGGCUGCGGAAUCAAUGAAUAUUCCGCCUUGACAGCAUGUAUAAGGGGCUCUACCGCACUCACUGAGGUAGACAUAGACAUGAAUCCCGCGUGGAUCCUUGGGACAAGCCCGGAGCUUCGGGAAGUAGAGGGAGAACUGGUGUCAGCUCUCGCUUCUAACAUCAAGCUAGCCAGAGUCAACCUCAAGGGUUUCCAGCUGUCCUACGACGACAUGAACGUGCUCGCGCGAGCCGCUAGCAGGAGCCUCAGCCUCAUUGAAUUCACUCUGAGUUCUGCGUGCUUCCUUUACAACAGUGAUGAUAGAAUAAGCUGUCCUCUACACGAGACCCAAGCGUUCCUCGAAGCAUCCGACCACAAGGAUGGCGCGCUGGCGGACAUCAUGGAAGUGGCCAGGAAGAACGCAUCCGCCGUCUUGGACGCUGCAGACUUCGUGCUGGGCGAACAAGAUGGCGUCGAAGGUGCGCGCGCCGUCGAGCUGAUGCGUGACCACCCGCGUCUCCUCGAAAUGGUGAUGGAAGAUGCUGACGUCACUAAGGCCGAAGCCAAGGAGAAGAUCCGCAGUGCCCUGAUUCGCGUCCGCAGCAGUAGCAUUGACGAAUUUAUGAGAAUGACUGGCGUCGUCAAGGAGGCGGUGCAGUGCCUCAGUCAUCCCGGUGCCAGGAGGCUUCAGCUCGCCGACAUUGGCCACGACUGCUGGCUCCACAUUCGUAGUUUCCUGAAGAUAGCGGACGUCGUGUCACGUUGAGCCAGUCCAGUGUUCCGCUGGAGAGCUUGGCAGACUGAGGGGAGAGGAAACCAAGCUGGCUCCUCCUGCUGGCGUCGAAGUGCGGCUGUAAAGAGAGGCUGUUACGUUUCAACUAGUAGGGCUCGGUUGUGCGCCUGUUGACUUUUCCCACUCGUUACAUCACCGACCCAGGAUGCUGUUAGGAAGCCACUGAACACCGUUUGCCAUCGCCGAUGUGGAAGUGUUUCAGCGUCAAUGUAAUGUGUUUUGAGGUGGUGGCGUUGAAGCAGUGGAGGAGGCGUCCUGUCGUUUUCCUCGUAUUACUUCACGUGACAUGAAAGGCGAUUGGAGUUUGCUUGACACGUGCCAAUUUUGGAACGAUGGCAGCGUGCCCAUCUUUCUUUAUUGACCCUGAUUUCAAUCCUGAAACAAAGCUUAGAUGUAUAUAUCUCUCU